rnacentral:lncRNA from 1 species
GUCCAUAUAACGUACCAGACAUUCGUCAAGCUUUUGUCUUCUGCUACAUUUGAGUGAUGCAGAAAGUGGGUCUUUCCAUUAGAGGGAAGCACCGACUCAAAAUCCAACCUCAUGUAUAUUUGUUGUCACACAUGGUAAGAGAAGUUGCAAGAAAACAACAUAUGGUACACAUAUUCUUCGUGAGCAUUACACCAGAUACACUACAAAAUUUGUCCAAUGACAAUGACACCUUGACUUUCUAAGUUUAACUUACACAAGAGCCUAUCCAACAUGAUCCUCCAAGCAAAUAUCGAGGUCUUCAAUGGCGUUUCAGACUUCCAAACCAAAAGACGCAACUCUUUGUCCUCUGCUCUUGAGCCCCCCAUUUGUCGAUCAUUUUGUAAGUUGAUUUAACUAUACAAGUGCUAGGUGCAUCGUGGAUCCACUUCCAAUGAUCUUUAACUUUCUCCUUCAAAGUUGUAGGACUUAUUAUUAGAUUCAUCAACUCCUCAAUCCUAACUUUCUUCCAAUCAAAAGGAUCUCUCCUCCAAGAUACAUUCCAAAUCCA